UACCCUCAAACGUAAACCCAUUUUGUGAAUAUUCACAUAACACUGGCCCACAGUAUCAUUGUCGUCCUCAAGCGUUCAUACUUCAUUCUAUACUUCUCUCUCUCUCUCUCUCUGCAACUGCAAGAGAUGAUGGAGAUGGAGGAAGCAGAGACGAUCGAUCUAUACGAGCUUCAAUAUUCAGACUUAUCUUCACCUUCAACUUCAUCCAUGGUCGAUUCCAUCAUGGAAGCCCUAGAACCCACUGUCCCAGGCCUCCUCGCCGUCCCCAUCGCUUCCAACCUCCGCUCACACCUUCUCUCUCUCUCUCGGAAACUCGCUCUUCUCGACCUCGACACCCGAAAACUCGUUCUCAAGGAGCAUAACUUAGGUAGUGACGUUCCUUUAAGAAACCCUGACAGGAGUGUAUCCCCCUUUGCCAUGCAACUCAAAUAUGCAAAAUCACAACAUGUUCAACAAACGGUGAGUGAAUGCUAUGGCAUGGAAUUCGAGAAUCUUGGAAGGUCUUUCAAAGAGCUAGGGUUUUGCAUGAUGGAGCUUGGGUUUUGUCUUGCUCGAAUAUGUGACAAGGCUAUUGGUGGCAAUGAGUUAGAGCAGAGUCUAUUGGAUUCAUGUGCGGCUAAAGGGAGACUCAUUCAUCAUCAUUCACAUUUAGAUGCUCUCCUCCUUAAACAACAUGAGAGGAGCAGGGCAACUAGCAAGAGACGUGGUAAUAAUGUCAAACCAUUGGAAGGGUCAGAGUCGAAUUCAAUUGCCAGCAAUGUGAAUUCGGGUGGAAAUCAUUUGAAUUUGUGGCAGCAGUGGCAUUAUGAUUAUGGUAUAUUCACUGUUCUUACAACUCCAUUGUUUAUUCUUCCAUCAUAUUCAGAGACAAGCAAAACGGAAGAUACAUUUUCUGAGUCUUGUUUUGGUGAGUGUCCAUCACCAACUGGGCAUACAUGCUUGCAGAUAUAUGAUCUCAAUAAGUAAAGGGCCAUCAUGGUGAAGGCCCCUCCAGAAAGUUUUAUCAUUCAAGUUGGGGAAGCUUUGCUCGACCCUGUACUUUGUUCAUACCUUCCAAGUUUGAAAAUUUGAGCAGAGAAAAUUUUGUUGUGUUUCUGCAGCCUGCAUGGACUAAAACAUUCUCUAUCUCGGAUUAUCACCAUGCAAACUCUACCUUCAAUGGUCAACUUUUAGUGGCUACUGAUGAGGAGCAAGAGCAGUCUGAGCGGGAUAGUAAUAAUCUAAGUCAAGAAAUUAAGAAAAUAGUUCCCCCUCUUUCGUCACGGUUGAAGGAAGGUAUGACUUUUGCCGAGUUCUCACGUGAAACAACAAAGCAGUUUUAUGGUGGUAGCGGUUUGCAGUCAAAUAGAUGACCAGUUUCUUCGGGUUAGUCCUGUUUCAAUGUAUACCCCUGCCAAAGCAAUAUAGAUUGAUUAGUUAAACCUGACUCAUUAUGUAUUUCGGUACCUUUUUUUUGGAAUAAUCAUAUUUUUGCAAAAAGA